AAACGCUAGCGGCAGGCCUUACACAUGCAAGUCGAGGGGUAGAAUGUCUUCGGAUAUUUGAGACCGGCGCACGGGUGCGUAACACGUAUGCAACCUGCCUUUUACUGGGGAAUAGCCCGAAGAAAUUCGGAUUAAUGCCCCAUAUGCUCGCACAAUCGCAUGAUUGAGCGAGGAAAGCUCCGGCGGUAAAAGAUGGGCAUGCGUCCUAUUAGCUUGUUGGUGAGGUAAUGGCUCACCAAGGCUACGAUAGGUAGGGGACCUGAGAGGGUGAACCCCCACACUGGUACUGAGACACGGACCAGACUCCUACGGGAGGCAGCAGUGAGGAAUAUUGCGCAAUGGAGGAAACUCUGACGCAGCCAUGCCGCGUGCAGGAAGACGGCCCUACGGGUUGUAAACUGCUUUUAUAUAGGAAGAAACCCCGAUACGUGUAUCGGCUUGACGGUACUAUAUGAAUAAGGACCGGCUAACUCCGUGCCAGCAGCCGCGGUAAUACGGAGGGUCCAAGCGUUAAUCGGAAUUACUGGGCGUAAAGCGCGCGUAGGCGGUUUGACAAGUUGGGUGUGAAAUCCCCGGGCUUAACCUGGGAACUGCAUUCAAAACUUUUAAACUGGAGUACGGGAGAGGAGAGUAGAAUUCAUGGUGUAGCGGUGAAAUGCGUAGAUAUCAUGAGGAAUACCAAUGGCGAAGGCAACUCUCUGGACCGUAACUGACGCUGAGGUGCGAAAGCGUGGGUAGCAAACAGGAUUAGAUACCCUGGUAGUCCACGCCGUAAACGAUGAGAACUAGCCGUUGGAUCUUUAGAUUCAGUGGCGCAGCUAACGCAUUAAGUUCUCCGCCUGGGGAGUACGGCCGCAAGGCUAAAACUCAAAUGAAUUGACGGGGGCCCGCACAAGCGGUGGAGCAUGUGGUUUAA
rnacentral:rRNA from 1 species